UUAUGUGUAUAUAUAGGGCUCAUUGUAUCAUCUUUAAUAUCAAUAAUAUAUUUUCUCACGUGCUUUCUCACAGUAUCCCUUGGAACUAGUCGAGGUUCGCGCAAGCUGGCUUGGACACCACGGUUAUAAGAAAAAGUGAUAAGAUUGAUUGCACCUUGUUUUCAGUGUGCUCAAUCAGAUUCUGAUGACUGAUAGGAUUGACUGAAUUAACUGUCAGUGUGAUUCUUAUAGCUCACUUAUCCUGUUAU
rnacentral:lncRNA from 1 species